CGCCGCGCCUCCUGGUGGUUCCCUACGUCGUGUCGAAGCCACGCCGCGCCCACGGAUCGGAGGAAGGCUCUCCCAAAGCUGGGAGCAGCGAUUUUGGGCCUGCGGGAGGGGAAUCAGAGGGAGCUCGCCAUGGUGGUUGGUCGUUUGGAGCAGGGGACUUAGUGUUGGCACAGGCCCAAUCCGGGGAUUUGCUACAUCUUUUGCAUAAGAGAGUUGGAUCAAGACCUAAACUAUCUGAAUUGGAGAUAGAAAAACAUAAGAUGACACUUGUGCUUGAACAAUAUCGGGUGGAAACUAAAGAACCAACAUGUGACGAUUAAGCUGCUUGAGGAGCAAAACUGCCAACUGGAACAAUAGCGCCACCCUACAGCACUCAUUUCAAGAGCAUAGCUGGACAUAUUUAGCUUUUGGCCACUGCUGCAUUAUUCACUUGUGCGUUGAAUAAUGAGGAAAGAGAAUGGAGAGUUGGAGACGAAUGGUGUGGCCAAACAAAAUUUAUAACAAUAGGACCUUGAGAUAUGUUACGACAAAGCUAAUCCGGUAUUUGCUUUGGUCCCGGAAGAUGUGAUUUCAUGAAGAACUAUUUGAGAAGGUGUCUUUGCUACAGCAGCUUGUACGUCCUGAAAACUUGGAUAUAAAACCAGAAUAUCAGAAUGAAGCGUCAUGGUUGCCAGUUGAAAUUGUCACACCCUGAUCACAUGCUAGUUUAAUCAACCGGACCAGCGGAAUAUAACUUUGACAUGGCUCUCCAAACUAAAGGGCACUUAUUGUUAGAUGGUGCAUCUCAUCUAUGCUCUUGCACUUGA